ACCCCUACUCACGCUUACGCGACCCCAAUGCUUAGGCAAACACUUUAAAUUUUGAGGCGUUCCCCUUUCAAUAAUUUCGCCUCCCAAAAUGCCUCGGUGAGUUUUUUGCAACGCCUCACCCUAGGACUCGCCUCGAGGCUCGCUUCAGACUAUCUUUUAAUCACUGCUAUAUAUAUCACUAAAUUGAUGGUUUAGCUGAUUAACAUCUUUGUUAUCGUCAUGCUCUUCUGUAUUUUGCCGUGGGUCUGAAGGCUUUCUUAUUGCUCCUAUGCAGCCUUAGGUGGAUUAGACCAUCGGUUGAGUCACUAUGAAGAGGUUAGGCUAAGGGGGCGGUCUCUGGUCCAUGGUGGGCUUUAGAUACCUAUCACGGCUAGGUCUGGGGUCGAGUCGUGACAAUAACAAAUAGAGGACAUAUGAUAAAUAGAAGUCAUCACAUUAACGUCAAUCAGUUACAAAUCAAAUAUGUAGUUAUGAAAGUUGUGCCAAAUUGUAAAUUCUGUGGUGCAAAAAGAUUCCAAUUUGAACCACCUGUAUUUUGUUGUAAUAAUGGUUCAAUUAAGCUUACAACACAUAAAAUGCCUAUUCUACUACAACAUUUAUUCUUAGAUACUUCUUAAGAGUCUGAACAUUUUCGAACAUAUGUUAGAAAAUGCAAUAAUAAGUUUGCAGGUACUUCACUUGGAGUAAAAUAUGACAAAGCCUUAGCUCAAAGAUAUCAUGGUAUUUAUACCUUUAGAGUUUAAGGGAAAAUGUACCUCUUUAUUGACGAUUUAUACCCUGUAACUGGAAAAGGAAAAAGCUUGCAACUAUACUUUUAUGAUAAUGAAAAUGAAGUGGUAAAUAGAA